rnacentral:rRNA from 1 species
GAUGAACGCUGGCGGCGUGCCUAAUACAUGCAAGUCGAGCGAACAGACGAGGAGCUUGCUCCUCUGACGUUAGCGGCGGACGGGUGAGUAACACGUGGAUAACCUACCUAUAAGACUGGGAUAACUUCGGGAAACCGGAGCUAAUACCGGAUAAUAUAUUGAACCGCAUGGUUCAAUAGUGAAAGACGGUUUUGCUGUCACUUAUAGAUGGAUCCGCUCCGCAUUAGCUAGUUGGUAAGGUAACGGCUUACCAAGGCAACGAUGCGUAGCCGACCUGAGAGGGUGAUCGGCCACACUGGAACUGAGACACGGUCCAGACUCCUACGGGAGGCAGCAGUAGGGAAUCUUCCGCAAUGGGCGAAAGCUUGACGGAGCAACGCCGCGUGAGUGAUGAAGGUCUUCGGAUCGUAAAACUCUGUUAUUAGGGAAGAACAAAUGUGUAAGUAACUGUGCACGUCUUGACGGUACCUAAUCAGAAAGCCACGGCUAACUACGUG